UAACCUGCCCAAGAGAUCGGGAUAACACCUGGAAACAGAUGCUAAUACCGGAUAACAACAGAUGAUGCCUAUCAACUGUUUAAAAGAUGGUUCUGCUAUCACUCUUGGAUGGACCUGCGGUGCAUUAGCUAGUUGGUAGGGUAACGGCCUACCAAGGCGAUGAUGCAUAGCCGAGUUGAGAGACUGAUCGGCCACAUUGGGACUGAUACACGGCCCAAACUCCUACGGGAGGCAGCAGCG
rnacentral:rRNA from 1 species